UGUAAGCGUAUACCAAAGUUGUUGCAGUUAAAACGCUCGUAGUCGGAAUUUGGCAGUUCCGGAUGUGUGCACGUCGUGUGCGCACUUCGCGGGGAUUGCUUUUGUGGUCUUGCGUAGGAUGAGGCACUUUUAUUAGUGAACGUCCUCACGCAACCACUUUUUACUGUGAGAAAAUCAGAGUGCUCAAAGCAGGCAUUUGCCGUGAAUGUAUUAGCAUGGAAUAAUAGAAUAGGACUUGGUUCUAUUUUGUUGGUUUGUGGGGACUGAGUAAUGAUUAAGAGGGACAGUUGGGGGCAUUUGUAUUUCGGUGCUAGAGGUGAAAUUCUUAGAUUACCGAAAGACAAACUGCUGCGAAAGCGUCUGCCAAGGAUGUUUUCAUUGA
rnacentral:rRNA from 1 species